rnacentral:pre_miRNA from 1 species
CCACCGCUCUUACCAACUUAGACUGAGUUAUACUGCUACUGUAAGCUUUGUAUAUCACAGUCCAAGCUUUGGUAAGUUUUGAU